UACAGAGGUCUCAAGCGUUGUUCGGAUUCAUUGGGCGUAAAGGGUGCGUAGGUGGCGCCAUAAGUCGGGUGUGAAAUCUCGGGGCUUAACUCCGAUACUGCAUUCGAUACUGUGGUGCUUGAGGACUGGAGAGGAGACUGGAAUUCAUGGUGUAGCAGUGAAAUGCGUAGAGAUCAUGAGGAAGACCAGUGGCGAAGGCGGGUCUCUGGACAGUUCCUGACACUGAGGCACGAAGGCCAGGGGAGCAAACGGG
rnacentral:rRNA from 1 species